rnacentral:rRNA from 1 species
GACGUAGGGCGCGAGCGUUGUCCGGAUUUAUUGGGCGUAAAGAGCUCGUAGGCGGCUCAUUGCGUCAACCGUGAAAUCCUGCUGCUCAACGGCAGGUCUGCGGUUGAUACGGGUGGGCUGGAGUUCGGUAGGGGAGACUGGAAUUCCUGGUGUAGCGGUGAAAUGCGCAGAUAUCAGGAGGAACACCGGUGGCGAAGGCGGCGUCCUGGACCAACACUGACACUGAUGAGCGAAAGCCAGGGGAGCAAACGGG